AAACAUCUCAGUACCCACAGGAAGAGAAACAACAGUGAUCCGUGAGUAGUGGCGAGCGAAAGCGGAAGAGGCUAAACCAUAGCUGCGUGAUAGUCGCCAGACGUUGCAGCCAUGGGGUCGUGGGACCGCUCAUUGAGCUCUGGCGGGCUCAGAGGGAGUAAGAAAUCCAUGUCAUAGACGAAGGCCAUGCGAAAGGGCCGGCACAGAAGGUAACACCCCUGUAGUCGAAAUGUCAUGGACUCCCGAGCGGGAUCCCAAGUAGUACGGGGCCCGAGAAAUCUCGUACGAAUCUGGCGGGACCACCCGCUAAGCCUAAAUAUUCCCUGGUGACCGAUAGCGGACAAGUACCGUGAGGGAAAGGUGAAAAGUACCCCGGGAGGGGAGUGAAAUAGUACCUGAAACCGUGUGCUUACAAGCCGUGGGAGCGUCUUGGCCUUCGGGCCUCCGUGACCGCGUGCCUUUUGAAGAAUGAGCCUGCGAGUUAGUGGUGUGUGGCAAGGUUAACCCGUGAGGGGCAGCCGUAGCGAAAGCGAGUCCGAC
rnacentral:rRNA from 1 species